GCUUACGACCACACCGGCCUGAGUACGCCUGAUCUCGUCUGAUCUCUGAAGCUAAGCAGGGUCAGGUCUGGUUAGUACUUGGAUGGGAUACAGCCAGGGAAUACCAGGUGCUGUAAGCU
ensembl:rRNA 5S_rRNA 5S ribosomal RNA